rnacentral:rRNA from 1 species
GACGAACGCUGGCGGCGUGCUUAACACAUGCAAGUCGAACGCUGAAGCUUGGUGCUUGCACUGGAUGGAUGAGUGGCGAACGGGUGAGUAAUACGUGAGUAACCUGCCCUUGACUCUGGGAUAAGCCUGGGAAACUGGGUCUAAUACUGGAUACGACAUGCCACUGCAUGGUGGUGUGUGGAAAGGGUUUUACUGGUUUUGGAUGGGCUCACGGCCUAUCAGCUUGUUGGUGGGGUAAUGGCCUACCAAGGCGACGACGGGUAGCCGGCCUGAGAGGGUGACCGGCCACACUGGGACUGAGACACGGCCCAGACUCCUACGGGAGGCAGCAGUGGGGAAUAUUGCACAAUGGGCGGAAGCCUGAUGCAGCGACGCCGCGUGAGGGAUGACGGCCUUCGGGUUGUAAACCUCUUUCAGCACGGAAGAAGCGAGAGUGACGGUACGUGCAGAAGAAGCGCCGGCUAACUACGUG